rnacentral:rRNA from 1 species
AUCAACGCUGGCGGCGUGCCUAACACAUGCAAGUCGAGCUGAGAAAGCGGGGGCAACUCCGUGAGUACAGUGGCGUACCGGGUGAGUAACACGUGACUAAUCCUACCCUAGAGUGGGGAAUAACGUCGGGAAACCGAGGCUAAUACCGCAUAAGCAUCGCGAGGGGAAGAUCUUGCGAUCAAGGAGCAAUGCGCUCGAGGAGGGGGUCCGCGGCUGAUUACGCUAGUUGGCGGGGUAACGGCCCACCAAGGCUCAAGAUCAGGUAGCCGGCCUGAGAGGGCACACGGCCACACUGGAACUGAAACACGGGCCAGACUCCUACGGGAGGCAGCAGUGGGGAAUUUUGCACAAUGGGGGAAACCCUGACUGCAGCGAACGCCGCGUGGAGGAUGAAGUCCCUUGGGAUGUAAAGCUCCUUUCGAGCAGGGACGAUGAUGACGGUACCUGAAGAAGCAGCUGCGGCUAACUACUGUGCCAGCAGCCGCGGUAAUACAGUAGGGGCAAGCGUUGUUCGGAGUUACUUGGGCGUAAAGGGCGCUGUAGGCGGUUCUGUAAGUCUGGUAGUGAAAUCUCCUGGGCUCAACUCGGAGGCUGGCUAUAGAAUACUGCCGUGACUUAGAGUGUGGGAGAGGAUGAGUGGAAUUCCUGGUGUAGCGGUGAAAUGCGUAGAUAUCAGGAGGAACACCGGUGGCUGUAAAGCGGCUCACUGGACCGUAACUGACGCUGAUGACACGAAAGCGUAGGGUAGCAAACAGGAUUAGAUACCCUGGUAGUCCUACGCCCUAAACGAUGAUCUCUUGGUGUGUCGGGUACCCAUCCAGUGAUCCGUGCCGGAGCUAACGCGUUAAGCUAUGCCGCCUGGGGAGUACAGGUCGCAAGGACUGAAACUCAAAGGAAUUGACGGGGGCCCGCACAAGCGGUGGAGCAUGUGGUUCAAUUCGACGCAACGCGAAGAACCUUACCUGGGCUCGAAAUGUAGUGGUACCGGUCAUGGAAACAUGGCCUAUCCCGCAAGGAGGUCCCUAGUAGAGGUGCUGCAUGGCUGUCGUCAGCUCGUGUCGUGAGAUGUUGGGUUAAGUCCCGCAACGAGCGCAACCCUUUGUCAUGUGUGCCAUCAUUAGUUGGGCACUCUGGCGAAACCGCCUCGGAUAACGGGGAGGAAGGUGGGGAUGACGUCAAGUCCUCAUGGCCUUUAUGUCCAGGGCUACACACGUGCUACAAUGGUCGGUACAAACCGUCGCAAACCCGUGAGGGGGAGCUAAUCGGAAAAAGCCGACCUCAGUUCGGAUUGAAGUCUGCAACUCGACUUCAUGAAGCUGGAAUCGCUAGUAAUCGCGGAUCAGAACGCCGCGGUGAAUACGUUCCCGGGCCUUGUACACACCGCCCGUCACAUCACGAAGGUGGGCUGUACUAGAAGCCGGUAGGCCAACCGCAAGGAGGCAGCCGUCCAAGGUAUAACUCAUGAUUGGGGUG